GAUGAAGAACGUAGCGAAAUGCGUUAAGUAAUGUGAAUUGCAGAAUUCAGUGAAUCAUCGAAUCUUUGAACGCAUCUUGCGCUCCUUGGUAUUCUGAGGAGCAUGCCUGUUUGAGUGUCAUUAAAUUUUCAACUACACUGACUUUGAAUUGGUGUGGCUUGGAUUUGGGGGGAAAAUUGUUGUGGGCUUUUUGUAUAGUCUGCUCCCCUGAAAUUGAUUAGCGGUACCUUUGUGGAACUGUCUACAGGUGUGAUAAUUAUCUACAUCUUAGACAUCUGCUGGAAUGCUGCUUUCUAAACCUUACUUGUAUUGACAAUCUUGACCUCAAAUCAGGUAGGACUACCCGCUGAACUUAAGCAUAUCAAUAAGCGGAGGA
rnacentral:misc_RNA from 1 species